rnacentral:misc_RNA from 1 species
GAAAUGCGAUAAGUAAUGUGAAUUGCAGAAUUCAGUGAAUCAUCGAAUCUUUGAACGCACCUUGCGCUCCUUGGUAUUCCGAGGAGCAUGCCUGUUUGAGUGUCAUGGUAUUCUCAACCCUCCUGUGGUUUUUGUUUUCGCAAAGUCUGCAGGUUUGGGAUUGGACUUGGAGGUUUUAUUGCCGGGCUUCCUCUUUCGAAGCUUGGCUCCUCUGAAAUGCAUUAGCUUGAAUGAUUUUUACCCAAGCAUGAUCCAGCGUGAUAAUUGUCUACGCUGCCUCAUCGUGGUGAAACAACCUUUGGUUGUUUUCGUUCAGGCUUCGAACCGUCUCCUCCGGAGACAAACUCAUCUGAACAUCUGACCUCAAAUCAGGUAGGACUACCCGCUGAACUUAA